rnacentral:lncRNA from 1 species
AGUGUUACUCUUAGUAAUUGGUGGUUCGGUCACUGACUUGGGCGUUGGAGUGCGAUCGGCCGCAGCGGCGCCGUUCUGUUCUUUUGCAGGUUCUUGAGGUGGAUCGCGGCGAAGGACGGAGGCAAGCGCGGCGCAUACGUCGAUCCAAGUUUGACGAGGCAAAGCUCCAGCGUUCUGGUCAACAGGCAAGAUCAUCAGGCGCCCACCGUGGGGCCGUGUAAAACCUGUUCNNN